rnacentral:lncRNA from 1 species
AGCGAUCUUCCUCCUUGAUCAAUUGUCAUAGACCCGGCACUCAUCCGUCUCUGGAUUGUCCUUGCAAAACGCCUCCAGCGGAUCCUUGCCCUUGUCCUUGUCCCUCUGGUGAGACGCGGCGGCGCUCACCUCCUCCACCUCGUCCCACGCCACCACGCACUCGGCCGACGCUGGAUUCUCCGCGCACACCUCCUCCGCCUGCUUGAUGCUCUCCUCCACCUUACCCUCCAGCGGGCUCGCGCACGCGAUCGUCGUCGCCAUCCUCCUCCUCCGCGACACCAAUCGAAUCCCCCCCAUUCCCCCUCGCGCCGCCGCGCAGGAGCUCCUCCUGGGAAUCGCGGAGAUCUGCUGCUGCUGCUGCAAGAAUUGGGGCUGCUGGAGCGCCAUCGUUGUAAUCGCGAUGGACGCCAUGAGCGCACGAGCUAUCGAUCGAUGCGAGGAUCUCUGUCCCAAGAGCCCUAGCUCCAGGGCAAACGAUCACCACGCAAGGAGGAAGAGAUAUCACUGCCACGUGGAGUCCGCUGAUUGAUCGACAGCACGGCAGGUCUAUGGCUUCCAAAGCUGCAGGAAGUAGACCAUGGAGAGAGAAGGGGAAAAUAUAGACCGGGUGCUCUAGGAAAAAAUCCAACCCAUGGUUCCCACAUUUCACUUUGCGAGAUUUUUUCUUUGUUUUGCCUUGCCUAUCAAUCGCAUUCUCGGGCUCGCUUGCUCAGGCGUUUUUUUUUUUCUCGAGAAUUAUUCAGGAGUAGCUCUAUGAUUGAUCUGGAACGAGGAAAACUUCGAUCUUCUCAAGCGUAAUAACAAGGAGCUUACUUGUCGUGAUCACGAGCGCGAGCCAGGCGACGAGAACUUUGCGUUGUUUCCCCUCUUGUCAUGACCCAGGCGCUACUUCUUCCUCGUUUCUCUGGAUGGCAGCAAUCUUAGCUCUGGACGAGUCCCCUUGGCCAUCAUCUGGAAAGAAAACCAAUGAAGUUAGUCACUACUGCUUGAUCGAAGAGAAAGAGAAAUCCUGGAAACCAAAGCUAGAAGUUGGAAACCAAAGUGAGUGUACUACUACCUGCGACAAUCCUGCUUCUCUUGCGUGACAUCCGCUUGACAAGCCCCUCGUAGAGCUCGACGAGGAGCUUGGGAUCCUUCUCCGCGUACAUGCUGUAGUCCCCGAACGUCGGCAACACUUGCAUGUCCAUGGAGGCCGUCCGGAGCACCGCGUCCUUGACAGUCUCCGAGUCAUACUUUCGAGCCAGGUCCAAGAGGUUGAUGGCGUUGUCCCGGGAGACGUUGCUGACUAGAAACUCCUCGCACACGGCCUUGAGGAGCUUGACGCCAUAUUUCUCUGCAGCACAGAAGAGAGACGCGGCAUGUUUCUUGAGCACUUCGGGACACACUGUGGCGGUGUAGAAGAAGCGCACAAACGCUUCCAACACAUCGUGCGAGAAGUCGUCGAUUCGGACGACACCGCUUUGGGCUUCCUUCAUUUGAGCACUAAACAUGGCCUUAAACACAGGUGACUUCCCCGCCUGCGCUAGAAACAGGCAGACAAACAAAAACCACAGGGGCGCUCACAUGUGAAAAAACAUGUGGGAUUGAGAGCUUUUUGUUUGGCAAGGCUGCACUGCUGAGCAUCUCUCUCACUCAAAAGCUUUAGAACAAAGCUUUCAAGGAACACACACACACACAAAAAAAAAAAAAAGAACUCGAAGCAAAAAACGUAGAAAACCUCUCAUCCCGUUCUCUCUCACGCAAAAGGUUUAGAACAAAGCUUUCAGGGAAGGCAAAAGCAAACAACAAACAACCAACACAAGAAAAUGGAGACAAAAGCAAGAAGAAAAAAUUCUCAUCUCGUUCUAGUCCCAAUUCUAACAAAGAAAAAGAGAAAAGUCCUUGCAAGCUAAUCCACCCAGAAAAAUGGUUUUUCCCGACUUCUAAAGGAAACAAAAACACAAAGAGCCGCAAAAAUUCAUUCCAGGAAGAUCACGAAGAACAAUCAAGCACGCAUUACUAUCAAAAGCCCAAGGAAACCAAAGGAAAGAAAUAAACUAGAUGCUAAGCUAGGGCUUGAGAGAAAGAUCGCUUACCAGGAUCGCCUUGUGCGCGCACACAUCCGGCCCAUCACACGCCUUGAGCGUCACAUCCGACAGCGGCAAAUCGAGGGUGUCCUGGUCCCAGGCGCGAAGGAAUUCGGCCUGGCGCGCCACGGCUUGCAGGCGCCGCUCCUCGUCCCGGAGGCGCUGCUGCGCGGCUUGCAAGCUCCCCACCAGCGACUCCAGCCUGUGGAUCCGGCCCCUGUGGCAUCGAUCACAAUACGCGAACUCCACCGCGUAGGAGCGAAACUCGUACCCUGAGAGGAGCCUCUUGCAAAGCACGCAUUCCACGCGAGGCAUAUUCCUCCUCUCUCCGUGUGCCCUAGAGGGAAUUUUUUCUAAAAGAUUUUUGGCGCCAAGGGCGUUUCGCGCGGGAACGGUUCGCCACGUGGCGUGUUUGAAAACGUUAGAAUUUAGGUUAGGACUAGAUAAACAAAAGGGUACCAUUAAGAAAGAAAAAUUAGUCAAAUAAAAUUGAAAAUAAAAUCGAAAAGGUGCCAAAAAGGAAUACAUAAACCCUAUGUUAAAAGGUAAAUCACUAUAUAAAUCUAGGUAUCAAAGCGAUCACAACACAACAAAGGAUCAAUGAGGAAGCUUGUGGUAGUUGCUUUCUUGGCUAUAUUCUUUGCAGGAGCUACUUCUUCGCGAUUGUUAGCGUCUACUCCACCACGAUCUCCAUCGCCAGGAUCUCUAGCAGUGGAGAAAUCGAUCUCUAUAGCUGUUUCUUACACAGGAAAGGAUACCUUCGCCGAUGGAACCCUUUUGACGUGCCCGCAAACCGCGAUUCAUCCCAACGUUAUGGUCCCCGGAGAUGUUGAUCCUGCACAGCUUUACUCCAUCGUGAUGAUAGAUAGGCGAGCUUCGCGGUCGAUGUUUACAUUGGCAGAUCAAUUCACGUACGUCCACUAUUGGAUCGCCAACAUCCCUGGAUCAAAGGUUGACGCUGGCACCAUUUUGGAGGAGUAUAUGAGGCCUGCACCCCACGAUUUCAUGCAGCACAAGUACGAGUUUAUACUGUAUAAGCAGCAAGGGCAGAUCAAUACGCCUCUCGCGGAUAGAUUCGUCAAGGACUGGGAAGCGGUCGCAAGCGCUUACAACCUUGGCAGCCCAGUAGCAACGACUUCCUUUGUCGCGCAGCUCACCCUAAACUUUAGAACGAGAAUGUUCCAGUGUUAAACAGGUGGCUUCUUUGAAUCAUUGCGUGUUGUUCGAAACUAGAGAAAAGAGAUUCAACUAUUGUUAGAACAAGAUCGUCCCAAUGUUAUAAAGGUGGCGAGAUUAUAGGUUUGAAUUAAGAGAGAACGAAAAUAGAGAAAAGAGAUACGAUUACAGUUUAGAGUGGUGUAUGGUGUUGUUUCUCAAGAACACUGUCCCGGAUAGGACGACUUUGCCUCUCUCUUUAACUUUGCACUUGAAGGAGAUCCUGAAAGAAGACGCAAGCGUUACGGGGAUGGUCUAGAAACGAUUGCGGGCGCUUACUGCGAGCUCUCGCCUUGUUCUUUCUUCAUCAAUGUUACGAGCGUUUCGCCCGGAUAGACGUGGUGCAGGAACCUGGAGCU